rnacentral:rRNA from 1 species
AGAACGAACGCUGGCGGCAUGCCUAAUACAUGCAAGUCGAACGAACACUUCGGUGUUAGUGGCGCACGGGUGCGUAACGCGUGGGAAUCUGCCCUUGGGUUCGGAAUAACAGUUGGAAACGACUGCUAAUACCGGAUGAUGACGAAAGUCCAAAGAUUUAUCGCCCAGGGAUGAGCCCGCGUAGGAUUAGCUAGUUGGUGAGGUAAAGGCUCACCAAGGCGACGAUCCUUAGCUGGUCUGAGAGGAUGAUCAGCCACACUGGGACUGAGACACGGCCCAGACUCCGUACGGGAGGCAGCAGGUAGGGAAUAGUUGGACAAGUGGG